rnacentral:rRNA from 1 species
CCUACGGGUGGCAGCAGUGAGGAAUAUUGGUCAAUGGACGAGAGUCUGAACCAGCCAAGUAGCGUGAAGGAUGACUGCCCUAUGGGUUGUAAACUUCUUUUAUAAAGGAAUAAAACGAGGCACGUGUUCCUUUUUGCAUGUACUUUAUGAAUAAGGAUCGGCUAACUCCGUGCCAGCAGCCGCGGUAAUACGGAGGAUCCGAGCGUUAUCCGGAUUUAUUGGGUUUAAAGGGAGCGUAGAUGGGUUGUUAAGUCAGUUGUGAAAGUUUGCGGCUCAACCGUAAAAUUGCAAUUGAUACUGGCAGUCUUGAGUGCAGUUGAGGUAGGCGGAAUUCGUGGUGUAGCGGUGAAAUGCUUAGAUAUCACGAAGAACACCGAUUGCGAAGGCAGCUUACUAAACUGUGACUGACAUUGAUGCUCGAAAGUGUGGGUAGCAAACAGGAUUAGAUACCCGAGUAGUC